rnacentral:rRNA from 1 species
GGAUUAGAUACCCUGGUAGUCCACGCCGUAAACGAUGGAUACUAGGUGUUCGGAGUGUUAACCCUCUGAGUACCGGAGCUAACGUAUUAAGUAUCCCGCCUGGGGAGUACGGUCGCAAGGCUAAAACUCAAAGGAAUUGACGGGGGCCCGCACAAGCGGUGGAGUAUGUGGUUUAAUUCGAAGCAACGCGCAGAACCUUACCUGGACUUAACAUUCAGUGACAACCUCAGAGAUGAGGCUUUCUCUUCGGAGACGCUGGGAUAGGUGCUGCAUGGCUGUCGUCAGCUCGUGCUG